UAUUUUAUAGUAUAUUAAAGUACAUUUAACUUCCAAUUAAAAAGAUUUUUUUAAUAAAAUAA
rnacentral:tRNA from 1 species